GUCCACGCCGUAAACGAUGAGAACUAAGUGUUGGCGUGAGUCAGUGCUGAAGUUAACGCAUUAAGUUCUCCGCCUGGGUAGUACGGUCGCAAGACUGAAACUCAAAAGGAAUUGACGGGAACCCGCACAAGCGGUGGAGUAUGUUGUUUAAUUCGAAGAUACACGAAGAACCUUACCAGGUCUUGACAUACCAUUGACAGGGGCAGAGAUGCCCCUCUCCUUCGGGCAAAUGGAUACAGGUGGUGCAUGGUUGUCGU
rnacentral:rRNA from 1 species